rnacentral:rRNA from 1 species
UACGUAGGGUGCAAGCGUUAAUCGGAAUUACUGGGCGUAAAGCGUGCGCAGGCGGCUUUGCAAGGCAGAUGUGAAAUCCCCGGGCUUAACCUGGGAACUGCAUUUGUGACUGCAUGGCUGGAGUGCGGCAGAGGGGGAUGGAAUUCCGCGUGUAGCAGUGAAAUGCGUAGAUAUCAGGAGGAAUACCGAUGGCGAAGGCAGGUCUCUGGGCUAGAACUGACGCUCAUGCACGAAAGCGUGGGGAGCAAACAGG